rnacentral:rRNA from 1 species
UACAGAGGGGGCAAGCGUUAUUCGGAAUUAUUGGGCGUAAAGGGCGCGUAGGCGGCAUCGCAAGUGGAAGGUGAAAUCCCUCGGCUUAACCGAGGAACUGCCCUCCAAACUGCUUGGCUUGAGUCCGGGAGAGGUGAGUGGAAUUCCCAGUGUAGCGGUGAAAUGCGUAGAUAUUGGGAAGAACACCGGUGGCGAAGGCGGCGACCUGGUCCUUGACUGACGCUGAGGCGCGAAAGCGUGGGGAGCAAACAGG